UGGGAAUAUUGCACAAUGGGCGAAAGCCUGAUGCAGCAACGCCGCGUGAGUGAUGAGGGCCUUCGGGUUGUAAAGCUCUGUCUUUUGGGACGAUAAUGACGGUACCAAAGGAGGAAGCCACGGCUAACUACGUGCCAGCAGCCGCGGUAAUACGUAGGUGGCAAGCGUUGUCCGGAUUUACGGGCGUAAAGGAUGCGUAGGCGGAUUUUUAAGUGAUAUGUGAAAUACCCGGGCUUAACUUGGGUGCUGCAUUUCAAACUGGGAAUCUAGAGUGCGGGAGAGGAGAAUGGAAUUCCUAGUGUAGCGGUGAAAUGCGUAGAGAUUAGGAAGAACACCAGUGGCGAAGGCGAUUCUCUGGACCGUAACUGACGCUGAGGCAUGAAAGCGUGGGUAGCAAACAGGAUUAGAUACCCUGGUAGUCCACGCCGUAAACGAUGAGUACUAGGUGUAGGAGGUAUCGACCCCUUCUGUGCCGCAGUUAACACAAUAAGUACUCCGCCUGGGAAGUACGAUCGCAAGA
rnacentral:rRNA from 1 species